AUCCUUUUCCAGUUCCUAAUGAUUUCCCAGUUUAUGAUGAUUGGGUGUUUAUGUAACAUGUGCCUCCCUUAAGCAUUGUUACAACAUAGACACAUUACACUUCUAAUA